rnacentral:rRNA from 1 species
AUGGCGUCUGCUCUUGGUGGCUUCCAUCUCCGAGGCCAUGCUCUGGUGGUGCUCGUGGUAGCGGUGCUGAGCCUAGCACAUCGCUCCAUGGGGGCCAGGAGGCUCAUGGAGCUGUACGAGCCGGAUCCCAGCGAGCAACUCACGUACCACAACGGCACCGUGCUGGGCGGCGACAUCCCCGUGUGCGUCCUCUGGUACGGGCGCUUCACGGCGGCGCAGAAGGCCAUCGUGUCCGACUUCAUAGCGUCCCUCGCCGCCGCGCCGGGAGACUACCCCGUCCCGUCCGUGCCGCAGUGGUGGAGCAGCAUCGACCGGCUGUACCUCGCCAAGGCGGAGGCGGCAGGCAAGAAGGCGCGGGUGAUCCUGUCCGGCCAGGUCUCGGACGAGGGGUGCUCGCUGGGGAGGAGCCUGACGCUGUCCCAGCUCCCCGCGCUGGCGGCCGCGGCGAAGCCCGCGAAGGGCGGCGUCGCGCUGGUGCUCACGGCGCAGGACGUGGCCGUGGAGGGCUUCUGCAUGAGCCGGUGCGGCAUGCACGGGUCGGACGCCAAGGCCGGGACGGCCUACGUGUGGGCCGGCAACUCGGCGGCGCAGUGCCCCGGCCAGUGCGCGUGGCCGUUCCAGCAGGAGGAGCCGCCGGUGCUGCCGCCCAACGACGACCUGGGCAUGGACGGGCUCGUGAUGAACGUCGCCAGCAUGCUCGCGGGCGCGGUGACCGACCCAUUCGGCGACGGGUUCUACCAGGGAGAACACGAGGCGCCGCUGGAGGCCGCGACGGCGUGCCCGGGGGUCUACGGCAAUGGCGCGUAUCCCGGCAAUGCUGGCGAGCUGCUGGUGGACAAGGCGACCGGAGCUAGCUACAACGCCAACGGGGCUCACGGGAGGAGGUACCUGCUGCCCGCGUUGUACGACCCCGCUUCAUCCGAGUGCGCAACGCUGGUUUGA